rnacentral:rRNA from 1 species
UACGAAGGGGGCUAGCGUUGUUCGGAAUUACUGGGCGUAAAGGGCGCGUAGGCGGCGACGAAAGUCAGAAGGGAAAGCCCCGGGCUCAACCUGGGAAUUGCUUUUGAUACUGUGUUGCUUGAGUUCGGGAGAGGUGAGUGGAAUUCCCAGUGUAGAGGUGAAAUUCGUAGAUAUUGGGAAGAACACCGGUGGCGAAGGCGGCUCACUGGACCGACACUGACGCUGAGGCGCGAAAGCGUGGGGAGCAAACAGG